CCUACGGGAGGCUGCAGUAGGGAAUCUUCCACAAUGUACGAAAGUCUGAUGGAGCAACGCCGCGUGAGUGAAGAAGGGUUUCGGCUCGUAAAGCUCUGUUGGUAGUGAAGAAAGAUAGAGGUAGUAACUGGCCUUUAUUUGACGGUAAUUACUUAGAAAGUCACGGCUAACUACGUGCCAGCAGCCGCGGUAAUACGUAGGUGGCAAGCGUUGUCCGGAUUUAUUGGGCGUAAAGCGAGUGCAGGCGGUUCAAUAAGUCUGAUGUGAAAGCCUUCGGCUCAACCGGAGAAUUGCAUCAGAAACUGUUGAACUGGAGUGCAGAAGAGGAGAGUGGAACUCCAUGUGUAGCGGUGGAAUGCGUAGAUAUAUGGAAGAACACCAGUGGCGAAGGCGGCUCUCUGGUCUGCAACUGACGCUGAGGCUCGAAAGCAUGGGUAGCGAACAGGAUUAGAUACCCCUGUAGUC
rnacentral:rRNA from 1 species